rnacentral:misc_RNA from 1 species
AAGUCGUAACAAGGUUUCCGUAGGUGAACCUGCGGAAGGAUCAUUACCAAUCCAAAAAUUACAAACCACUGUGAUCCUGUAAACGUCUUUGGGUGGCAAGGAAUAUAUUGAAAGAUAUACUCCCUUUCCACCCAACAUUAUUAACCCCUUAAACAAUUAUGUUGAAUUUAAACACCCUCUUAGAUUUUCUUUUAUUUAUCAAAGAAACGCUUAAGAUGGGAAAAAAAAAAAAAACAUAAAUACAACUUUUAACGGUGGAUCUCUUGGCUCAU